rnacentral:rRNA from 1 species
AACUUUCAACAACGGAUCUCUUGGUUCUGGCAUCGAUGAAGAACGCAGCGAAAUGCGAUAAGUAAUGUGAAUUGCAGAAUUCAGUGAAUCAUCGAAUCUUUGAACGCACAUUGCGCCCUCUGGUAUUCCGGGGGGCAUGCCUGUUCGAGCGUCAUGAU